rnacentral:rRNA from 1 species
AGAGUUUGAUCCUGGCUCAGGACGAACGCUGGCGGCGUGCUUAACACAUGCAAGUCGAACGAGGUCCAACCGGUGGCAACACCGGGGAAGGCCUAGUGGCGAACGGGUGAGUAACACGUGAGGAACCUGCCCCGAAGUCUGGGAUAACCCUCCGAAAGGAGAGCUAAUACCGGAUGCCCUCAUCAGAUCGCAUGUUCAGAUGAGGAAAGAAUUUCGCUUCGGGAGGGCCUCGCGGCCUAUCAGCUUGUUGGUGAGGUAACGGCUCACCAAGGCGACGACGGGUAGCUGGUCUGAGAGGACGAUCAGCCACACUGGGACUGAGACACGGCCCAGACUCCUACGGGAGGCAGCAGUGGGGAAUCUUGCGCAAUGGGCGAAAGCCUGACGCAGCAACGCCGCGUGCGGGAUGACGGCCUUCGGGUUGUAAACCGCUUUCAGUGGGGACGAAAUCAGACGGUACCCACAGAAGAAGCCCCGGCCAACUACGUGCCAGCAGCCGCGGUAACACGUAGGGGGCGAGCGUUGUCCGGAAUCAUUGGGCGUAAAGAGCUCGUAGGCGGCUCAGUAAGUCGGGUGUGAAACCCCCAGGCUCAACCUGGGGACGCCACUCGAUACUGCUGUGGCUAGAGUCCAGUAGGGGAGUGUGGAAUUCCCGGUGUAGCGGUGAAAUGCGCAGAUAUCGGGAGGAACACCAGCGGCGAAGGCGGCACUCUGGGCUGGAACUGACGCUGAGGAGCGAAAGCGUGGGUAGCAAACAGGAUUAGAUACCCUGGUAGUCCACGCCGUAAACGUUGGGCACUAGGUGUGGGGACCCUCCAACGGUUUCCGUGCCGUAGCUAACGCAUUAAGUGCCCCGCCUGGGGAGUACGGCCGCAAGGCUAAAACUCAAAUGAAUUGACGG